rnacentral:rRNA from 1 species
GACGAACGCUGGCGGCGUGCCUAAUACAUGCAAGUCGAGCGGGACUCUUCGGAGUCUAGCGGCGGACGGGUGAGUAACACGUGGGCAACCUGCCUGUAAGACUGGGAUAACACCGGGAAACCGGUGCUAAUACCGGAUAAUCCUUUCCCUCACAUGAGGGGAAGCUGAAAGACGGUUUCGGCUGUCACUUACGGAUGGGCCCGCGGCGCAUUAGCUAGUUGGUGAGGUAACGGCUCACCAAGGCGACGAUGCGUAGCCGACCUGAGAGGGUGAUCGGCCACACUGGGACUAGGACACGGCCCAGACUCCUACGGGAGGCAGCAGUAGGGAAUCUUCCGCAAUGGACGAAAGUCUGACGGAGCAACGCCGCGUGAGCGAUGAAGGCCUUCGGGUCGUAAAGCUCUGUUGUCAGGGAAGAACAAGUAUCGGAGUAACUGCCGGUACCUUGACGGUACCUGACCAGAAAGCCACGGCUAACUACGUGCCAGCCGCCGCGGUAAAAC